rnacentral:rRNA from 1 species
UACGUAGGGUGCGAGCGUUGUCCGGAAUUAUUGAGCGUAAAGGGCGCGCAGGCGGUCCUUUAAGUCUGAUGUGAAAGCCCACGGCUCAACCGUGGAGGGUCAUUGGAAACUGGGGGACUUGAGUGCAGAAGAGGAGAGUGGAAUUCCACGUGUAGCGGUGAAAUGCGUAGAGAUGUGGAGGAACACCAGUGGCGAAGGCGACUCUCUGGUCUGUAACUGACGCUGAGGCGCGAAAGCGUGGGGAGCAAACAGG